AAUCAAUGUCGUUAGCAGCUAAGAUUCAACAGGAAACGCCAGAGCAAGCGUUCCUGAAGUAUGCAGAAAUGACGCCAGCCGAGCGGUUAUUUGCUUCGAUGCUUGGACAGCUCGGCAUAACACAAGAUCAAUUCAAGUCGAUGAGUCCUGCCGAUCAGCAGAAAGUGGUGCAAAGGAUUCAGGAUCAGGCUCAGAAAGACAGAAACAAGACCGGGCUUGUUUUGGACAAAUCGAUUUAAUCACUGCGUGGAUCCG
rnacentral:misc_RNA from 1 species